AUUGAACGCUGGCGGUAGGCCUAAAACAUGCAAGUCGAACGCGAAAGUCCUUCGGGAAGAGUAGAGUGGCGGACGGGUGAGUAACGCGUAGGAAUCUAUCCUGUAGUGGGGGAUAACGUUUCGAAAGGAACGCGAAUACCGCAUACGCCCCAAGGGGGAAAGCGGGGGAUAUUCGGACUUCGUGCUCAAGGAGGAGCCUGCGUCGGAUUAGCUAGUUGGUGGGGUAAAGGCUCACCAAGGCGACGAUCCGUAGCGAGUCUGAGAGGAUGAUCAGCAACACCGGAACUGAGACACGGUCCGGAAUCCUACGGGAGGCAGCAGUGGGGAAUAUUGCGCAAUGGGCGAAAGCCUGACGCAGCCAUACCGCGUGUGUGAAGAAGGCCUUCGGGUUGUAAAGCACUUUCAGUGGGGAGGAAAAGCUGGUGGCUAAUAUCCAUCGGCCGUGACGCUACCCACAGAAGAAGCACCGGCUAAUUCCGUGCCAGCCGCCGCCGUAAGAC
rnacentral:rRNA from 1 species